rnacentral:lncRNA from 1 species
GACCCAGAUCAAGUUUGACUGAAAGGCAAACACCAUUCCCGACUGGCUUUACCAUCUGUUUUUCCACAGAGACAACUCACAGGCUAUAAAGUGCUUAACAUUUCCCUGGCUUCAGAAGGCACUAGGGAAGGAAAGCUUAAAGUAUAAUUAAAAAAAAAAGAAGAAGAAGAAGAAGAAGAAGAAAGAAAACCACAUCGUGAUUAACUGAG